AUAUAAGUAGUAUAUAGAAUAAAUCUGUUCUUAUCAGCUUAAUAUCUGAUACGUUUCCUAUUGGGAAACCAGAAUAUUAAACUGAUUUUUGGAACUUGGCGGAGUAACUGGGGCUUGCUCCGACUGUGCCGCGGGUUUGAUGAUUGCUUCAAUGAAUAAAAACCUUCACUCG